rnacentral:tRNA from 1 species
GCGGGUAUAGCUCAGAGGCAGAGCACCUGGUUUCCAACCAGGGUGUCGGGAUUUCGAAAUUCCCUACCCGCUCCA